GGUGAGUAACACGUGGGUAACCUGCCUGUAAGACUGGGAUAACUCCGGGAAACCGGGGCUAAUACCGGAUGGUUGUUUGAACCGCAGGUUCAGACAUAAAAGGUGGCUUCGGCUACCACUUACAGAUGGACCCGCGGCGCAUAGCUAGUUGGUGAGGUAACGGCUCACCAAGGCGACGAUGCGUAGCCGACCUGAGAGGGUGAUCGGCCACACUGGGACUGAGACACGGCCCAGACUCCUACGGGAGGCAGCAGUAGGGAAUCUUCCGCAAUGGACGAAAGUCUGACGGAGCAACGCCGCGUGAGUGAUGAAGGUUUUCGGAUCGUAAAGCUCUGUUGUUAGGGAAGAACAAGUGCCGUUCAAAUAGGGCGGCACCUUGACGGUACCUAACCAGAAAGCCACGGCUAACUACGUGCCAGCAGCCGCGGUAAUACGUAGGUGGCAAGCGUUGUCCGGAAUUAUUGGGCGUAAAGGGCUCGCAGGCGGUUUCUUAAGUCUGAUGUGAAAGCCCCCGGCUCAACCGGGGAGGGUCAUUGGAAACUGGGGAACUUGAGUGCAGAAGAGGAGAGUGGAAUUCCACGUGUAGCGGUGAAAUGCGUAGAGAUGUGGAGGAACACCAGUGGCGAAGGCGACUCUCUGGUCUGUAACUGACGCUGAGGAGCGAAAGCGUGGGGAGCGAACAGGAUUAGAUACCCUGGUAGUCCACGCCGUAAACGAUGAGUGCUAAGUGUUAGGGGGUUUCCGCCCCUUAGUGCUGCAGCUAACGCAUUAAGCACUCCGCCUGGGGAGUACGGUCGCAAGACUGAAACUCAAAGGAAUUGACGGGGGCCCGCA
rnacentral:rRNA from 1 species